AGCGAACGCUGGCGGCAGGCCUAACACAUGCAAGUCGAACGAACUCUUCGGAGGUAGGGGCGGACGGGGGAGGAACAGGUGGGAAGGGGCCUUUUGGGUCGGAAUAACUCAGGGAAACUGGUGAUAAUACCGAAUGGGCGCUUAGGGGGAAAGAUAUAUUGCCAUUAUAGCGGCCCUAGUCAGAUUAGGUAGUUGGGGAGGUAACGGCUCACCAAGGCGACGAUCAGCAGCUGGGCUGUGAGGAGGACCAGCAACACCUGGACUGAGACACGGCCCAGACUCCUACGGGAGGCAGCAGUGGCGAAUCUUGCGCAAUGGGCGAAGGCCUGACGCAGCCAUGCCGCGUGAAUGAUGUAGGUCUUAGGAUUGUAAAAUUCUUUCGCCGGGGACGAUAAUGACGGUACCCGGAGAAGAAGCCCCGGCUAACUUCGUG
rnacentral:rRNA from 1 species